rnacentral:rRNA from 1 species
GAGGAAUCUUCCACAAUGGGGGCAACCCUGAUGGAGCAACGCCGCGUGCGGGAUGAAGGCCUUCGGGUUGUAAACCGCUUUCAGCAGGGACGAAGGGUUUCUGACGGUACCUGCAGAAGAAGCACCGGCUAACUACGUGCCAGCAGCCGCGGUGAUACGUAGGGUGCGAGCGUUGUCCGGAAUUAUUGGGCGUAAAGAGCUUGUAGGCGGUCCGUCACGUCGGAAGUGAAAACUCAGGGCUUAACCCUGAGCCUGCUUUCGAUACGGGCAGACUUGAGGGAUGUAGGGGAGAACGGAAUUCCUGGUGGAGCGGUGGAAUGCGCAGAUAUCAGGAGGAACACCAGUGGCGAAGGCGGUUCUCUGGACAUUUCCUGACGCUGAGAAGCGAAAGCGUGGGGAGCAAACA